GAUGAACGCUAGCGGCAGGCCUAACACAUGCAAGUCAGGGGGUAACAUAGAAAAGCUUGCUUUUCUGAUGACGACCGGCGCACGGGUGCGUAACGCGGUAUACAACCUACCUUUUAGCGGGGGAAUAGCCCAGGGAAACUUGGAUUAAUGCCCCAUAGUAUAUAGACUUCUCCUGAAGUUUAUAUUAAACGUUUAUGGCUAUUAGAUGGGUAUGCGUCCUAUUAGUUAGUUGGUAAGGUAACGGCUUACCAAGGCAGCGAUAGGUAGGGGUCCUGAGAGGGAGAUCCCCACACUGGUACUGAGACACGGACCAGACUCCUACGGGAGGCAGCAGUGAGGAAUAUUGGACAAUGGGCGAGAGCCUGAUCCAGCCAUGCCGCGUGCAGGAAGACUGCCCUAUGGGUUGUAAACUGCUUUUACAGAGGAAGAACCACCCCCACGUGUGGGGGUUUGACGGUACUCUGCGAAUAAGGAUCGGCUAACUCCGUG
rnacentral:rRNA from 1 species